GACGUAGGGGGCGAGCGUUGUCCGGAAUUACUGGGCGUAAAGAGCACGUAGGCGGGAACUUAAGUCAGGUGUGAAAGACCGUGGCUCAACCACGGGGUGGCAUUUGAAACUGGGUUUCUUGAGGGCAGGAGAGGAAAGCAGAAUUCCUGGUGUAGCGGUGAAAUGCGUAGAAAUCAGGAGGAAUACCAGUGGCGAAGGCGGCUUUCUGGACUGACCCUGACGCUGAGGUGCGAAAGCGUGGGUAGCAAACCGGAUUAGAUACCCUGGUAGUCCCUGAGCGGG
rnacentral:rRNA from 1 species